rnacentral:ncRNA from 1 species
UGUCUUCAGGGCGGGGUGCGAUUCCCCACCGGCAGUAAAGUCUGCGAACCCCCUUCGGGGGGCCGAUUCGGUGUGAUUCCGAAACCGACGGUAUAGUCCGGAUGAGAGAAGACG